UGAACGCUGGCGGCAGGCUUAACACAUGCAAGUCGAGCGGUAACAGGAAUUAGCUUGCUAAUUUGCUGACGAGCGGCGGACGGGUGAGUAACGCGUAGGAAUCUGCCUGGUAGUGGGGGACAACAUGUGGAAACGCAUGCUAAUACCGCAUACGCCCUACGGGGGAAAGGAGGGGAUCUUCGGACCUUUCGCUAUCAGAUGAGCCUGCGUGAGAUUAGCUAGUUGGUGGGGUAAAGGCUCACCAAGGCGACGAUCUCUAGCUGGUCUGAGAGGAUGAUCAGCCACACUGGGACUGAGACACGGCCCAGACUCCUACGGGAGGCAGCAGUGGGGAAUAUUGGACAAUGGGCGCAAGCCUGAUCCAGCCAUGUCGCGUGUGUGAAGAAGGCCUUCGGGUUGUAAAGCACUUUCAGAAGUGAGGAAGGGUGUGUAGUUAAUACCUACAUAUCUUGACGUUAGCUUCAGAAGAAGCACCGGCUAACUCUGUG
rnacentral:rRNA from 1 species